CUGUGCCGGCUUACGUGAUGGGUGUACUCUGUGCAAAUAUUGUAUGUUAGAGCCCUGAAUGACUCGCUUGGGUUCCUUUAGGCUUGGUGAAAAUUUUCUUCUAAGUUACGCCAACAAUCGACAUCGCCGAUCGAUCAAGCGCCCGUUUCGGCUACAAGACUUGUGAAAGUGAACUCCAUAUAUACUCAGAUGUUUAUGAAAAGUGAUUCUCCAUAUGUGGAUGUUUACUUCAACAGGUGUGUUUUUGCUCUUGAAUUAAUUACAAGGUGUUGCAUUUUUCGUCCUGCAUCAACCUGGUCGGUGCAUUAGACAACUUUUUGCACUCUGCUUGGUAGGCCUGAAAGGUUUCACCUAGGAUAUGUCAGCAGCAGCAGAUCUCCUAGUCCAGACUCAGAAAGAGGGCUGGCUGCAUUUAUCGAGAAUCAGACCGUUCGGGGGUAGCUCGUAUUCAUGUCUUCUCGAGGCUUAGGCAGGAGGGGCUUGGAAGGCUUUGCAACAGAUCUGUAGGAUAGUUAAAGAACAUCAAAGAACCGUUCAAGAGAGACAUUAUUAAAGAAUCUUUACGUUAUUUUCUUGAGAAAAGCUGAGAUAUUGUGGAUCAGUCUGUAUAUAUAUACCACCAGAAUUAUUUUACAUGUUAUGACAGUAUUGUCAUCUCCUUUUGCAUCAUAUAUAUCCAAACCAAUCGGAUUGGGUGUAAUUCAAGCAUCAAUUUGACACCAAACUUGUUGCCACUUGCCAGUUCCUUGUGCAGGUGCAGUUAGAUUUUUCUUUCCCAGCAUUUAGAGAAUGAGGACCCUCCACAGUCGAAUUCAUGCCUGUGAUCUUAAAUGUUGAUUGAACAGCACAGCACAAUCCAAUGCCUAUGGACUUUUUUUCAAGAUGGCCUUCUUAGUCGUCACCUUGGGCAUGUUGUUCGAAUUAUGGAUUAGCUCAUGGGUUUGUACUUGUAAUACGUGGCAAAGCUGUCCCCAGAACCAGGACCAGAGCCAGAAAUUUUUGGUGUUUUAUUACUUGGCUAUGGUCCAUACGGGGUCGUGCGCAUCUGAUGAUGUUUCACGCUGGCAAGGGCAGAGAGCGAGCUAGGACAGUUUGUGGAGCUCAGAUUGGGAAUUAAUGAGGCAAAAUUCCAGGACAGGUCCACCUGCAAACAAUUGUUUUCCGGGAUGAUGUUUUCGAAAUAAAAUUUUACAUAACACUAUGAUCGAGUUGUUUACAACUUAGAAAAGUUCUAAUUUCAAAUCAACAAGUAAACCAUUUUUCAAAAGAAUUUACUCUCAAAAGGAGCCCACAACACCACCAAAGGAGAUCAAUUACACCAAAAGGUGGCAUAUGUCACACAUCCCAAAUUUGUAGUUAUGCUACAACAGGGCCAGCCGACCUGGUUGUUGGAAGUCGCUGUACCUCCACUUUCUGAAUCUCUCCCUUACUCCACCCCACCCCACCCCACAACCUAUCUGAAAAUUUUAUUUCCUCUAGACCUCCUUGUUUCUUAGAACCUUGUAAUUACUAAGGUAUUAAAGCUGGAAUUCGAGCAAUCCAUCCGACUUAACACUAAUCUACUGCUGAAUUGAUAUUACCUUGCUAAAAAACAAUGAUUAAAAAUGGAGAACACCUGAAACGGUUAAUUACAAUGCCUAUACAAUCAACUAGCCAUCCUAGUGAAUAUUUAGCUGCUAUCCUUUGCAAACUUGAUAGCUUUAGCCUUGCAACAAAAUCUAACCAUACUUUCUUCACAUAAAGACGCUCAAUGUCAACAAAUCAUGCAGAAAUGCCUU
rnacentral:sRNA from 10 species